AUUGAACGCUGGCGGCAGGCCUAACACAUGCAAGUCGAGCGGAUGAAGGGAGCUUGCUCCUGGAUUCAGCGGCGGACGGGUGAGUAAUGCCUAGGAAUCUGCCUGGUAGUGGGGGAUAACGUCCGGAAACGGGCGCUAAUACCGCAUACGUCCUGAGGGAGAAAGUGGGGGAUCUUCGGACCUCACGCUAUCAGAUGAGCCUAGGUCGGAUUAGCUAGUUGGUGGGGUAAAGGCCUACCAAGGCGACGAUCCGUAACUAGUCUGAGAGGAUGAUCAGUCACACUGGAACUGAGACACGGUCCAGACUCCUACGGGAGGCAGCAGUGGGGAAUAUUGGACAAUGGGCGAAAGCCUGAUCCAGCCAUGCCGCGUGUGUGAAGAAGGUCUUCGGAUUGUAAAGCACUUUAAGUUGGGGGGAAGGGCAGUAAGUUAAUACCUUGCUGUUUUGACGUUACCAACAGAAUAAGCACCGGCUAACUUCGUG
rnacentral:rRNA from 1 species